GAUGAACGCUGGCGGCGUGCCUAAUACAUGCAAGUCGAACGGACAGGCCCUGCGUUUGUGGGUUUCUCGUGUGGCGCGCGGGGGAGUAUCACGUGUGUAUCCCGCCCCUAUCAUUGUGGUAUCUCUAGGAAACUCCGGCUCAUACCCGGUAUGAUCUCCUGCUGCACAGUGGGCGUUGGAAAAUUUCGGCGGUUGGGGCUGGACUCGCUGCUUAUGAGCUGCAUUGGGUGGUAGUGGCUUUCCAGGGUUUCGACGGGUAGCCGGCCUGGGAGGGUUACCGGCCACAUUGGGACUGAGAUACGGACCAGACGCCUACGGGAGGCAGCAGGGGAGAAUAUUGCAGAAUGGGCGGAAGCCUGAUGCAGCAACGCCGCGUGCGGGAUGACGGCCUUCGGGUUGUAAACCGCUUUCGCAUGUGACGAAGCGUGAGUGACGGUAAUGGGUAAAGAAGCACCGGCUAACUACGUG
rnacentral:rRNA from 1 species